rnacentral:rRNA from 1 species
CCUACGGGAGGCUGCAGUGGGGAAUAUUGGACAAUGGGCGAAGGCCUGAUCCAGCCAUGCCGCGUGUGUGAAGAAGGCCUUCGGGUUGUAAAGCACUUUCAGUGGGGAAGAAAGCCUUGGGGCUAAUACCCUCGAGGAAGGACAUCACCCACAGAAGAAGCACCGGCUAACUCCGUGCCAGCAGCCGCGGUAAUACGGAGGGUGCGAGCGUUAAUCGGAAUUACUGGGCGUAAAGCGCGCGUAGGCGGUCUGAUAAGCCGGUUGUGAAAGCCCCGGGCUCAACCUGGGAACGGCAUCCGGAACUGUCAGGCUAGAGUGCAGGAGAGGAAGGUAGAAUUCCCGGUGUAGCGGUGAAAUGCGUAGAGAUCGGGAGGAAUACCAGUGGCGAAGGCGGCCUUCUGGACUGACACUGACGCUGAGGUGCGAAAGCGUGGGUAGCAAACAGGAUUAGAUACCCGUGUAGUC